rnacentral:rRNA from 1 species
UACGUAGGGGGCAAGCGUUGUCCGGAUUUAUUGGGCGUAAAGAGCGUGUAGGCGGCCAGGUAGGUCUGCUGUGAAAACUCGAGGCUCAACCUCGAGACGCCGGCGGAAACCAUCUGGCUAGAGUCCGGAAGAGGAGAGUGGAAUUCCUGGUGUAGCGGUGAAAUGCGCAGAUAUCAGGAAGAACACCGGUGGCGAAGGCGGGUCUCUGGGCCGAUACUGACGCUGAGGAGCGAAAGCGUGGGGAGCGAACAGG